AGGGGGGGGUGGUCGGAGUUCUGGGCGUAAGGGCACGCAGGCGGUCCUGCGCGUUUCGAGUGACAGCUGAGGGCUUAACUCUCCGAGGAUGGGAAAGACGGCAGCACUUGAGGACCAGAGAGGGACACGGAAUUCCGGGUGGAGUGGUGAAGUGCGUAGAGAUCCGGAGGAACACCGAGGGCGAAGGCAGUGUCCUGGCUGGUAACUGACGCUGAGGUGCGAAAGCUAGGGGAGCGAACGGGAUUAGAUACCCCGGUAGUCCUAGCCGUAAACGAUGACCACCAGGUGUGGGAGGUAUCGACCCCUUCCGUGCCGGAGUAAACACACUAAGUGGUCCGCCUGGGGAGUACGGUCGCAAGAUUAAAACUCAAAGGAAUUGACGGGGACCCGCACAAGCAGCGGAGCGUGUGGUUUAAUUCGAUGCGACGCGAAGAACCUUACCAGGGCUUGACAUGCGCUUGCACCACCUGGAGACAGGUGUCCCUUCGGGGCAGGCGCACAGGUGCUGCAUGGCUGUCGUCAGCUCGUGCCGUGAGGUGUUGGGUUAAGUCCCGCAACGAGCGCAACCCCUGUGGUCGGUUGAGAUUUCCGACGAGACUGCCACGCUAAACGUGGAGGAAGGUGGGGAUGACGUCAAGUCAGCACGGCCCUUACGUCCUGGGCGACACACACGCUACAAUGGCCGAGACAACGGGUUGCCAACCCGCGAGGGGGAGCUAAUCCCAGCAAACUCGGUCUCAGUUCGGAUGGUAGGCUGCAACCCGCCUGCCUGAAGCCGGAGUUGCUAGUAACCGUGGGUCAGCACACCACGGUGAAUACGUUCCCGGGUCUUGUACACACCGCCCGUCACACCACGAAAGUCGGCAACACCUGAAGCCGCUGGGCUAACCCUCUGGGGGGGCAGGCGUCGAGGGUGGGGUUGGUGAUUGGGGGUGAAGUCGUAACAAGGUAAC
rnacentral:rRNA from 1 species